UGGAUAAAUGUGUACUCUGCACACCUGGGAUCCAGUGUGGGUGCCUGUGAGAGUGGUUUAGACAGUAUAAGUUAAAUCCACGGCACUCCAAAAGCUCCCCUGCAAAACAAAUCCCA